UACGUAGGGGGCGAGCGUUGUCCGGAUUUAUUGGGCGUAAAGAGCGUGUAGGCGGCCAGGUAGGUCUGCUGUGAAAACUCGAGGCUCAACCUCGAGACGCCGGUGGAAACCGUAAAGCUAGAGUCCGGAAGAGGAGAGUGGAAUUCCUGGUGUAGCGGUGAAAUGCGCAGAUAUCAGGAGGAACACCAAUGGCGAAGGCAGCUCGCUGGGACGUGACUGACGCUGAGACGCGAAAGCGUGGGGAGCAAACAGG
rnacentral:rRNA from 1 species